rnacentral:tRNA from 1 species
GGAGGUACAUCUCCGUGGUAGAGUGUGUGCUUAGUAUGCACGAGGUCCUGGGUUCAAUCCCCAGUAGCUCCU